AUGGACGCUGUAGAGUCCUCCUCACCAUACUCGCCGCCCUCACUGCGCCACAAACUGCGGACCACGGUAUGCGGCUGCUUCGGCUCGCCGUCCUCUCCAGGCAGCGGCGGGGCGAGGCCGCACACCGGCGGCGGCAGGCCCAGGUGGAGGAGGCCCGUGGCGGCCGCGGGGGAGUUCCGGUACGACCCCCUGAGCUACGCGCUCAACUUCGACGACGGCGGCAGCGAUGACGGCGACGCCGACGCGGAGGACGCCGCCUUCCGGCACAGAAACUUCAACUCGCGCCUGCCUCGCUCGCCGGCGCCGGCCUCCCGAACCGUCUCAAUCGCCUAA
rnacentral:rRNA from 1 species